rnacentral:sRNA from 1 species
AUGGGAAAUUUACUCAGAUGUUACAUAAAUUAUGGGGAAAAUGUCAAAAAAAGCUUCAACUUUCAAAUUUGGGAUGAAAAAAGCAUGAACUUUGAAAAUGUU